rnacentral:rRNA from 1 species
UACAGAGGGGGCAAGCGUUGUUCGGAAUUACUGGGCGUAAAGGGCGCGUAGGCGGCCAUCUAAGUCGAACGUGAAAUCCCCAGGCUCAACCCGGGAACUGCGUCCGAUACUGGUUGGCUUGAAUCCGGGAGAGGGAUGCGGAAUUCCAGGUGUAGCGGUGAAAUGCGUAGAUAUCUGGAGGAACACCGGUGGCGAAGGCGGCAUCCUGGACCGGCAUUGACGCUGAGGCGCGAAAGCCAGGGGAGCAAACGGG